rnacentral:rRNA from 1 species
ACUGGGCGUAAAGGGCACGCAGGCGGUGACUUAAGUGAGGUGUGAAAGCCCCGGGCUUAACCUGGGAAUUGCAUUUCAUACUGGGUCGCUAGAGUACUUUAGGGAGGGGUAGAAUUCCACGUGUAGCGGUGAAAUGCGUAGAGAUGUGGAGGAAUACCGAAGGCGAAGGCAGCCCCUUGGGAAUGUACUGACGCUCAUGUGCGAAAGCGUGGGGAGCAAACAGGAUUAGAUACCCUGGUAGUCCACGCUGUAAACGAUGUCGAUUUGGGGGUUGAGCUUUGAGCUUGGCGCCCGUAGCUAACGUGAUAAAUCGACCGCCUGGGGAGUACGGCCGCAAGGUUAAAACUCAAAUGAAUUGACGGGGGCCCGCACAAGCGGUGGAGCAUGUGGUUUAAUCCGAUGCAACGCGAAGAACCUUACCUACUCUUGACAUCCAGAGAACAUUCCAGAGAUGGAUUGGUGCCUUCGGGAACUCUGAGACAGGUGCUGCAUGGCUGUCGUCAGCUCGUGUCGUGAG